UGCGACGGAUGGCCAGUAGAGUCACAUGGGUGAGUUUAGAACCUUUUAUUUAGCAGGACAUUCAUAUGUUGAUAUUUGGAGUAUCAGGGUUAGGCGGGGUUAUAGUUUUGGACCACUUUACCCCUAGACCUAUAAGUUGCUUAAGUUUAACGCAAGGGGCAAAAUUGAAAUUUGUCCUUUUAUUGAGAUUUUGUCUUGUAGUGAAGUUAGUGGAAACUCCCAAGUUUUAUUUUAUGCUAGUGGUAUGAUCUAGUUUAUUAAGGAAAUAGAAAAAGAGAAAGUAGGAGAAAAACCAAAAGUUAUCUUAUUCUCCCUCUCUCUCUCUCUCUCUCUCUCUCUCUCUCUCUCUCUCUCUCUCUCUCUCUCUCUCUCUCUCUCUCUCUCUCUCUCUCUCUCUCUCUCUCUCUCUCUCUCUCUCUCUCUCUCUCUCUCUCUCUCUCUCCUUCACCUUUGUCCCUAGAAGAACCAAGAUUAGGCUUUCAUAUUGAAGUCAUUUUCAGCAAGGAUUUGAGGAGAAACCUUAAGUUAAGACCAAAGGUAAGAGCAAAGCUAAAGUUGAACAGCAGUGAGUGCGAGCAUAUGAAGAUUAUACAUGUUGGGGUGGUUAGACCUGGAGCGUACGAUCUUUGGGAUAAUAGGCUGCGUUUUGAGUAGUCUCUAGGAGACAACUUUUAUAUCAAAAAUUUUGUAUUACAGUUGUAAAAUUUUUAAAUACGGGAUCCCGGUUUAAAUAGAAGUCAUUUACUUUUAAUUUAAGGGUAAAUAAAUAAUGUUUUAAUUAA